rnacentral:rRNA from 1 species
UACGUAGGGUGCAAGCGUUAAUCGGAAUUACUGGGCGUAAAGCGUGCGCAGGCGGUUUUGUAAGUCUGUCGUGAAAGCCCCGGGCUCAACCUGGGAAUUGCGAUGGAGACUGCAAGGCUUGAAUCUGGCAGAGGGGGGGUAGAAUUCCACGUGUAGCAGUGAAAUGCGUAGAGAUGUGGAGGAACACCGGUGGCGAAGGCGGCAUCCUGGACCGGCAUUGACGCUGAGGCGCGAAAGCCAGGGGAGCAAACGGGG